GUUAUAACCGGCGAUACCCGAAUGGGGAAACCCAGUGUGACUCGUCACACUAUCAUUAACUGAAUCCAUAGGUUAAUGAGGCGAACCGGGGGAACUGAAACAUCUAAGUACCCCGAGGAAAAGAAAUCAACCGAGAUUCCCCCAGUAGCGGCGAGCGAACGGGGAGGAGCCCAGAGCCUGAAUCAGCAUGUGUGUUAGUGGAAGCGUCUGGAAAGGCGCGCGAUACAGGGUGACAGCCCCGUACACAAAAGCGCAUGUGCUGUGAGCUCGAUGAGUAGGGCGGGACACGUGGUAUCCUGUCUGAAUAUGGGGGGACCAUCCUCCAAGGCUAAAUACUCCUGACUGACCGAUAGUGAACCAGUACCGUGAGGGAAAGGCGAAAAGAACCCCGGCGAGGGGAGUGAAAAAGAACCUGAAACCGUGUACGUACAAGCAGUGGGAGCCCCACCACCAAAGCAUUUGCUGUACCGCGUUGACGGAGCGAAGCGACGUCAAACCGAUAAAACAGCAGUGUAAAGUGAGCCGCAGGGCGCUUUGCGCGACAGCGCAAAGGCAGGCGGUUUCGCGUAGCGAAAGCGAAUGCUUUGGGGUGGGGUGACUGCGUACCUUUUGUAUAAUGGGUCAGCGACUUAUAUUCUGUAGCAAGGUUAACCGAAUAGGGGAGCCGGAGGGAAACCGAGUCUUAAUUGGGCGUUAAGUUGCAGGGUAUAGACCCGAAACCCGGUGAUCUAGCCAUGGGCAGGUUGAAGGUUGGGUAACACUAACUGGAGGACCGAACCGACUAAUGUUGAAAAAUUAGCGGAUGACCUGUGGCUGGGGGUGAAAGGCCAAUCAAACCGGGAGAUAGCUGGUUCUCCCCGAAAGCUAUUUAGGUAGCGCCUCGUGAAUUCAUCUCCGGGGGUAGAGCACUGUUUCGGCUAGGGGGCCAUCCCGGCUUACCAACCCGAUGCAAACUGCGAAUACCGGAGAAUGUUAUCACGGGAGACACACGGCGGGUGCUAACGUCCGUCGUGAAGAGGGAAACAACCCAGACCGCCAGCUAAGGUCCCAAAGUCAUGGUUAAGUGGGAAACGAUGUGGGAAGGCCCAGACAGCCAGGAUGUUGGCUUAGAAGCAGCCAUCAUUUAAAGAAAGCGUAAUAGCUCACUGGUCGAGUCGGCCUGCGCGGAAGAUGUAACGGGGCUAAACCAUGCACCGAAGCUGCGGCAGCGACACUGUGUGUUGUUGGGUA
rnacentral:rRNA from 1 species